GUAAGAGACACUAGCAAUGGAUCCUGUGUUUCUGGGUUGCUGCUUUUCUCUACUUUUCUCUCAGUGCUGUUCUCAUCACCUGCUGACUUGGACAAUGGAGAGGAGACUUCAGCAAGUUCAGACUGGACGGGAUAUUAGCACUGUUUAGCUCUGGCUUAUGUUGGUGUGGAGGACUGAGCCUGGGAUUUUGGAGCUUCAGGCAUGAGAGUCUCUUUGUAUAACCAUCGUGCUAUCUACCACCACCAAAAUUCUUCCAUAAGACACCAAGUUACAGAUGCUAUCAUGACUUCAUCCCGACUUCUAUGGGCAGAUGACCUCACCAAUGUGUCCUGGACCUUCACAUCUCCAGAGCUCUGGUAUACUAGAGAAAGAUAAAAACAGGCUAGGGGUAUGGAUUGACCUGCCAGUGCCCAUGUUCAGUGGAGAAGCAAUUAUGAAAGCCAGGACUCCUACCUUCUGCUCCCCAAAAACAACCUUGAUUCAAACUCCUAGCAGGGGAGAAGUGAUCUGAUGAAGAUAAGAGGGUUCUGCACUCCAGCUCCACCGGCAACCAGAGAGAGAGAAGGAAAAGAAGAGGGACAUAUGAAGGCAGUUACGUUAUCAUGAGUGGCUGGGAGGGAAAGAAAAGAUUGAAUCAGAAAAGAAGGGGCAACUAUGUAUAAAUGUGGACAGAUAGUUGUAGAGAAGAUGGUUGGCCCAUUUCUAUAACCUAAUUGGAACUGUGGUGGAUUGUAGUGGGGAAAGUGAAGAUUAAGAACUCUGGUGAUGGGACUGGUUUGGAUUCAACCCCUGUUGACAUGUAACUCUGUAACAUAAAAAAUAAAUUUAAAAAUCAUUCAAUUUAUAAAGAAAAAAAAGAAUUGAUGGUUAAAAAAAUAAAAAAAUUGCCCAAGUCAUAGGUGACUACAGACACAUGUUACUUGAGGACUGACAGGGCUGAAUAAGUGAUUCUGAGGACUAAAAUCCGGGGCUCAGAGACAGCAGGCUCCAAAUUAGAUUGGCAGUUAAGAUAUACCACUUCUAGGUUCGAGUUUACAUAACAAACAAUUUGUUUAAAAAAAUCAACUAAAAAUUCAAUUUACAACUGUGACUUCUGAGUCUCCAUUGUUGAGACCCCACAGGCUAAAACAGCAGCAGGGAGACCGUAUAUUGACAUCAAGGUCAUCACACAACCUGACUGAAGACUCAGGAUAAAAUUCCACUCCCCAACCAAGAUAUAGAAGUAGGAAAAUCAGACUCCUUACCCUCAGUACCUGCUGCUGACACAAGGAUUCCACAGUAAAUGAAGAAAUGGAGAAAUAUACAGACAGCAACUACAGAAACUCCAAAUGGACAGAGAGACCCAGAUCUAGAAAAAAAUAACAGAGAUAGAGUUCAGAAAACUCAUUAUGAAAUCAAUUCAAGAAUUAAGUGAUCAUCUUACCAAAGAAUUGCAAAGUACAGGAACAAAUCAAAACAAAAAAAAAACAAAAAGAACUCCAAACAGAACUUCAGGGUCAGAAAGGAAACUUUAAAUGUAAUUCAGGUUGAGGGAACAGACCUCAGAAGUAGACUUAACCAGGUGGAGGAGAGAAUAUCAGCACCAGAAGAUACAACCACCACACUCUGAAAUUAAAACUCUUAUAAAGGUUCAGGAAAAAUUAAGUACUUCUCAACAAAAUUUUAGACUCCAUCAGAAAGAUGAACAUCAGAGUUACUGAAAUCCCUGGGAAAGAAGAGAAAGGGGAGCAGACAUAUUCAAUGAAAUUUUCCCAGAAUUUUCCAUACCUGAGCAAUGUUCAAAAUAUAGAAAUCCAAGAAUGUGAACACACACCUAAAUUUCUGAAUCCAAAGCAACACACACAGACAUAUUAUUGUGAAACUAUUUAAAAACCAGGGAUGAGGAAAAAAAAACACUGCAGGCUGCCAGGAAAGGAAGAAAGUCACAUAGAAAAACAGAACCAUCAUGCUUUCAUCAGGUUUCUCAUCACAAAUCCCAGAGGCAACAAGGGUGUGGAACAGCAUCUUCAUAGUAUUAAAACAUAAGAAUUGGGGGUCACAAAUUCUGUAUCCUACUAAAUGACCCCUCAAAUAUAAGCUUGAA